rnacentral:rRNA from 1 species
UGGGGAAUAUUGCACAAUGGGGGAAACCCUGAUACAGCGACGCCGCGUGGAGGAAGAAGGUCUUCGGAUUGUAAACUCCUGUUGUUGGGGAAAAGAAGGAUGGUACCCAACAAGGAAGUGACGGCUAACUACGUGCCAGCAGCCGCGGUAAAACGUAGGUCACGAGCGUUGUCCGGAAUUACUGGGUGUAAAGGGAGCGCAGGCGGGUAUGCAAGUUGGGAGUGAAAUGCAUGGGCUCAACCCAUGAACUGCUCUCAAAACUGUGUAUCUUGAGUAGUGCAGAGGUAGGCGGAAUUCCCGGUGUAGCGGUGGAAUGCGUAGAUAUCGGGAGGAACACCAGUGGCGAAGGCGGCCUGCUGGGCACCAACUGACGCUGAGGCUCGAAAGUGUGGGUAGCAAACAGGAUUAGAUACCCUGGU